rnacentral:rRNA from 1 species
CCCUUAGAUGUUCUGGGCCGCACGCGCGCUACACUGAUGCAUUCAACGAGUCUAAAACCUGCUCUGAUAGGGGUGGGUAAUCUUUUGAAUGUGCAUCGUGAUUGGGAUAGAUGAUUGCAAUUUUUCAUCUUCAACGAGGAAUGCCUAGUAAACGCAAGUCAUCAGCUUGCAUUGAUUACGUCCCUGCCCUUUGUACACACCGCCCGUCGCUCCUACCGAUUGAAUGAUCCGAUGAAUAUCAUAGACUGAGAGUAUAAGCAGGUUCGCCUGUCUUUGCUUCUCGGGAAGUGAAGUAAAUCUUAUCAUUUAGAGGAAGGAGGAGUCGUAACA